GACGAACGCUGGCGGCGUGCUUAACACAUGCAAGUCGAGCGGUAAGGCCCUUUCGGGGGUACACGAGCGGCGAACGGGUGAGUAACACGUGGGUGACCUGCCUCUAGCUCUGGGAUAAGCCCGGGAAACUGGGUCUAAUACUGGAUAUGACUCCAUGACGCAUGUUGUGGGGUGGAAAGCCUUGUGCGGCUAGAGAUGGGCCCGCGGCCUAUCAGCUUGUUGGGGGGUGAUGGCCUACCAAGGCGACGACGGGUAGCCGGCCUGAGAGGGCGACCGGCCACACUGGGACUGAGACACGGCCCAGACUCUUACGGGAGGCAGCAGUGGGGAAUCUUGCGCAAUGGGCGAAAGCCUGACGCAGCGACGCCGCGUGAGGGAUGACGGCCU
rnacentral:rRNA from 1 species